rnacentral:rRNA from 1 species
UACGAAGGGGGCUAGCGUUGCUCGGAAUCACUGGGCGUAAAGCGCACGUAGGCGGAUUGCUAAGUCAGGGGUGAAAUCCUGGAGCUCAACUCCAGAACUGCCUUUGAUACUGGCGAUCUUGAGUCCGGGAGAGGUGAGUGGAACUCCGAGUGUAGAGGUGAAAUUCGUAGAUAUUCGGAAGAACACCAGUGGCGAAGGCGGCUCACUGGCCCGGUACUGACGCUGAUGGUGCGAAAAGCGUGGGGAGCAAACAGG